rnacentral:rRNA from 1 species
UACGUAGGGUGCAAGCGUUGUCCGGAAUUAUUGGCGUAAAGAGCUCGUAGGCGGUCUGUCGCGUCUGGUGUGAAAAUCCAGGGCUUAACCCUGGACCUGCAUCGGGUACGGGCAGACUAGAGUGCGGUAGGGGAGAUCGGAAUUCCUGGUGUAGCGGUGAAAUGCGUAGAGAUGUGGAGGAACACCAGUGGCGAAGGCGGCUUUCUGGUCUGUAACUGACGCUGAGGCGCGAAAGCUAGGGGAGCGAACAGG